CUGAUGAAUCACCUUUCCCUAUCGAUGUGCAUCAAGUGGCAACCUACGAUUAGUCAGAACAAAGCUCUCGCAGAUCUAAGGAGCCAACGGCCUGGAUGUGAAGAUGGUUCGCCAUAUGAAGCUGAUCCUUGAUGCAUGUCGACUGAAAAUAGAUAGAUAAAAUUAGCCUCGACUUUGAACUGAUACUCUCUUCAACCGAUCUUAUUCAAGCUUGGACUUAAGAGCGGGAGGCAUCUGUUAUGGAUCUCCACCUUGGC
rnacentral:lncRNA from 1 species